rnacentral:rRNA from 1 species
CCUACGGGUGGCAGCAGUGAGGAAUAUUGGUCAAUGGACGAGAGUCUGAACCAGCCAAGUAGCGUGAAGGAUGACUGCCCUAUGGGUUGUAAACUUCUUUUAUAUGGGAAUAAAAUGUUCCACGUGUGGGAUUUUGUAUGUACCAUAUGAAUAAGGAUCGGCUAAUUCCGUGCCAGCAGCCGCGGUAAUACGGAGGACCCGAGCGUUAUCCGGAUUUAUUGGGGUUAAAGGGAGCGUAGGUGGAUUGUUAAGUCAGUUGUGAAAGUUUGCGGCUCAACCGUAAAAUUGCAGUUGAAACUGGCAGUCUUGAGUACAGUAGAGGUGGGCGGAAUUCGUGGUGUAGCGGUGAAAUGCUUAGAUAUCACGAAGAACUCCGAUUGCGAAGGCAGUUCACUGGACUGCAACUGACACUGAGGCUCGAAGGUGUGGGUAUCAAACAGGAUUAGAUACCCCUGUAGUC